rnacentral:rRNA from 1 species
AUGGCCAAGCGCCUUGGUACUUGGCAGGCUUGCCUACUUUGCCGUGGCGAGCGGCUUGCCCUAGUACGCCACGUCCUGAGCACCAUGCCAGCCCACCUUUUACUGGCCAUGGCCCUCUCGCCCUCCAUCCCGAAGCUCGUCAACCGGCUAAUCCGUGAUUUUCUAUGGCAUGGACGCAAGGAGGCCCGUUCAGGCAACUGCCUGGUGAACUGGCAGAAGGUGUGCCGCCAUCUCGAGCUUGGGUGCCUAGGCGCGCGUGACAUUCAACGCACUGGCAUUUCUCUCCGUACUCGUUGGCUUUGGCUGCACAUCACCGACCCCACGCGGCCCUGGCACCAUCUCCACCUACCCGACGACGCCGGCGUGUGAGACAUCUUCCGCGCAUCCACCUCUUGGACCAUUGGUAACGGACUUACCUGCCGAUUCUGGACUGAUCAUUGGCUAGACGGCAAAUCGAUUGCCGAGAUCGCACCGAGCCUGACCACUUUGGUCCCUCGGAGAUGCCGCAACAAGCGCCUGAUUCAUGAGGGACUCCUCAACCGGGCUUGGAUCCAUGACAUCCGCGACGCGCUUGGCAUUGAGGCCACUGUUGAGUAUAUCUACAUUUGGAGGCGUCUUCUGCAGGUGAUCCUAUCCACCGACCCAGACCGCAUUCACUGGCGAUGGACAGAUAAUGGCACGUACUCGACCUCAUCUUGCUACAUGGCUCUCUUCCAAGGCUCCAUUGCGGACAUGGAUUGGAGGCUGACAUGGAAGGGUUGUGCCCCAACCAAUGUCAAAAUAUUCCUGUGGCUCGCCAAGCAGGACCGUUGUUGGACGACUGAGAGAUUAGCCAAGCGGGGACUGGACCACCCUCCUCGCUGCGUCCUCUGUGAUCAAGACACCGGGGACAUCCACCACCUCCUCGCCGCCCGCGUUUUCUCCAGGGAGAUUUGGCAUCACACUCUAGCUUGGUGCAAACUCACCGUCAGCCCUCCCAACGGUGACCUCACCCUCUACUAG